GUGAAACGGCAGGAAACCUCUACAGCCAUCUCAGGGGAAGACCUCUGCUUCCAGGAACGAAGUCGCACAUUCACAGCUGCUUCCUGUUUUCAAACACCUUGCCCACCUUCUCACACCAAGCACGCAUUCUGCAAAAUGUGAGCCCACAGGAAGCUGCCUGCAAAUUCAGGGAGAUUUUCUGACUCUUAAAGAGGGCUUGAACAUACUUUCACAGAAAUGCCAGCAAACGCUGUAGUCAUUUGGGGAAGAACAGGUCUGGAAGGAAAAUACACGGCGGACCAGCACCGAGAGGGUCCCUCUGGUUACGGCGUGGAGAAUAGAUUUGCGGGGAAAGACCAGCACUGGGCAGACCAGGG
rnacentral:lncRNA from 1 species